AGCUGGUCCGAGUGCAGUGGUAUUUAUAACUAAUCCAUCACAACCAGUUAAAGAUUCCUUUGUUCCAUCUUCACUCCUACUGCCUCACUUGCCCAGCCUAAA
rnacentral:Y_RNA from 1 species